UACGGAGGGUGCGAGCGUUGUCCGGAAUCACUGGGCGUAAAGGGUGCGUAGGCGGUCUGACAAGUCUGAUGUGAAAUCUAUGGGCUCAACCCAUAGUCUGCAUCGGAAACUGUCGGGCUUGAGUAUGGGAGAGGUGAGUGGAAUUUCCGGUGUAGCGGUGAAAUGCGUAGAUAUCGGAAGGAACACCUGUGGCGAAAGCGGCUCACUGGACCAUUACUGACGCUGAGGCACGAAAGCUAGGGGAGCAAACAGG
rnacentral:rRNA from 1 species